rnacentral:ribozyme from 1 species
GCAUCCAUAUCAUGAGAUGACGGCUCUCCAUCUCUUCCCCAUAUCGAUAAUAGCGGUCCAGCUCAUCUUCAA